GAAAUAUAAUAUACAUAUAAAUAAUUGCUUAUAGGAAUCAGCAAUACUCUUAUUGGCUAUAGGUAGAAAAAUUAUGCUACAGAAAAUUUUUAUUAGAUAAAAGAGAACAUUCAUUCAUCCAUGAUUAUCGAAAUACCAUUAGGAUUGAGCAUUGAGGUUAUAUACUAUUCCAUUCUCCAACUCAUGAUCUAUUUCACCUUUCAAUCUAUUUCGAAUAGAAUCAAAUUUAAUAGAUUAAAGCAGCCAUAAAAAAUUUACCUCCAUAAUAUUUGCCUAUUAUUAUUAUUAUUUGUAGAAAUUCUAAAUUUGCCAUAACUGCAUAGAUGAUAUUGAGGCUUCUUUACCUGAAAGGAAAGAAAUAAAUUUCGCUAGAUAAAAAAAUAUUAUCGGCU